GAAAAGACUAAUAUUUGUUAAAAAUUCAUGUAAACCCCGUAAGAUUGCACAUCUGUGAAUCUAUGAAAUUUUGAUAAAAAAGUUCCAGAUUAAUUAUUUCGAUAUGCUGUUUGGUUCGACCAGUAUUUUUAUAAUUAUAGCGUCGAUUAUCAUGAAAAGCAAUCAUGUUAUUAUCGAUAUUGUGUAACGCCCUAUUAAAGAUGUUGUCGCAAAUAAAAUAUUCAUAUAACACGCUCAACGCAAAUAGAUGAUUAUGAAACGAGUAAAACAGCUGAAUCGCAAGAAAUUGUAACCCAUUCCAAGAAGCUCGAUUAGUCGUUGUACGUACCGCAGACAGUUUACAAGAUUCACCACACGAAACAGAACAUGUAUUCGACGAAUCCUACGUAUGGAAUGUUUAACGAAGGGAAUGAUACUCGCUUUUCUACCGAGAAGUGGUGCAACAGAAAGAACUGCCUUUACGAACCUGUCAAGGUUAACCGUUCCAACGUAGCAACCCCCGAAGAUCUUCGUCGCUUAUUCUACGUACGUGUCUCGUUGAGACAAUGGACUCUUCAAGGAUGAAAAAUUAAAAACGAUCUACGACGUGACGAGCUUGGGAGAUUUUCUGAUAAAAUGAGAACACGUUAAUCCUUGAUUACCGAUUGCUGGCCUUUGAGCAGGCUCUGAAUUUUUAUUUUAUUAUCAUAAUCUAUAUAGCAAGGAAUUUUAGAAACUCCAAAAAUCUUGAAUAUCUUCGGUAGCAUUAGACGAUACGAUUAAAGAGUAUCGACUUGUUACUUGUUACGCGCGAUUUAUUGAACUUUUAUUCGAUUACCUCAAAGCAGCGGAGAAUUUUAUAAUCUCGAAGAUUUGAGAGUAAAUGCUUCGAUCGCGAAGCACCUAAGUAGACGAAAUGUAUUCAGUGUGAUUAAAUAAAAUAGUUAGAAUAGAUUAAUGUUUGUGGCAUAAUGAUUUAAUAAAUAUAAUAAAAUAUCGAGACUAAUUCGAGAGACUAGAAGUCUGUGACAAUGAAAAAAAUAAAUGAAAAUUCCAUUGAAGCGUAAGAUAUCGUAUGUAGAAAUAGCGUAAUUAUCUGAAAAUGAAUUAUUUAUAAUUUUCGACUAAAGGUUACUUACGAAAUAAACUUACGAGUGACCUAACGAAUAGA